AGUGAAGCGGCAACAGCUCAAAUUUGAAAUCUGGCUCUUUAAGGGUCCGAGUUGUAAUUUGUAGAGGAUGCUUUUGGCGCGGUGCCUUCCGAGUUCCCUGGAACGGGACGCCUUAGAGGGUGAGAGCCCCGUACGGUUGGACACCAAGCCUCUGUAAAGCUCCUUCGACGAGUCGAGUAGUUUGGGAAUGCUGCUCUAAAUGGGAGGUAAAUUUCUUCUAAAGCUAAAUAUUGGCCAGAGACCGAUAGCGCACAAGUAGAGUGAUCGAAAGAUGAAAAGCACUUUGAAAAGAGGGUUAAACAGCACGUGAAAUUUUGAAAGGGGAAGCGUUUACGGCCAGACCUUUUCCUAGCGGAUCAUCCGGUGUUCUCACCGGUGCACUUCGCUAGGUUUAGGCCAGCAUCGGCUUCUGUAGGGGGAUAAAAGCAGUGGGAAAGUAGCUCUCUAGGGAGUGUUAUAGCCCUAUGCAUAAUACCUCUACGGGGGCCGAGGUCCGCGCUUAGGCAAGGAUGCUGGCGUAAUGGUCGUCAACGACCCGUCUUGAAACACGGACCAAGGAGUCGAACAUUUGUGCGAGUGUUUGGGUGUUAAACCCUCACGCGUAAUGAAAGUGAACGGAGGUGAGAGCCCUUUAGGGUGCAUCAUCGACCGAUCCUGAAGUUUACGGAUGGAUUUGAGUAGGAGCAUUAAUGUUCGGACCCGAAAGAUGGUGAACUAUGCGUGGAUAGGGUGAAGCCAGAGGAAACUCUGGUGGAGGCUCGCAGCGGUUCUGACGUGCAAAUCGAUCGUCAAAUCUGCGCAUGGGGGCGAAAGACUUAUCGAACCAUCUAGUAGCUGGUUACCGCCGAAGUUUCCCUCAGGAUAGCAGUGUUGUAUUCAGUUUUAUGAGGUAAAGCGAAUGAUUAGGGACUCGGGGGCGCUUUUUAGCCUUCAUCCAUUCUCAAACUUUAAAUAUGUAAGAAGCCCUUGUUACUUAGUUGAACGUGGGCAUUCGAAUGUACCAACACUAGUGGGCCAUUUUUGGUAAGCAGAACUGGCGAUGCGGGAUGAACCGAACGCGGGGUUAAGGUGCCGGAGUGGACGCUCAUCAGACACCACAAAAGGUGUUAGUACAUCUAGACAGCAGGACUGUGGCCAUGGAAGUCGGAAUCAGCUAAGGACUGUGUAACAACUCACCUGCCGAAUGUACUAGCCCUGAAAAUGGAUGGCGCUCAAGCGUCCCACCCAUACCUCGCCCUCAGGGUAAAAACGAUGCCCUGAGGAGUAGGCGGCCGUGG
rnacentral:rRNA from 1 species